GACUGGCUGGGGCCAGAGGGUGUAGGCCAAGGAAGCCAGGAGGAAAGAGGAAACAGUUUUGGAGAGGCUGCCAGGUGUGUGGCACUAUGCCAGCUUCUCUACACAUGCUCUCCUGCUGAACUUUCAUAAAACCCAGGCACAGGUGCUUAUAGCAUGCAGGUAAGAAAAGCAGACGUGUAAAGGUCAACAUAUUUAAAAAAUGUAAAAACCUCACAGCUGAGUUUUUAUGACCAAAUGCCAGUUACAAAGUGUGUGCCUGCAAGAUGACCCCCAUUUACUUUGGAAUUCUUGUGAAACACACCAUGAGAGAAUGAGAGCAAAAAACAAUGCUGAUCAGAGGUAGAAAUUUUAGUAGGGAUGGUUACAGCCUAGGGAUUAAACAGCUCCAUCUGGGGACUUCCCUAGUAAUCCAGUGGUUGAGACUGCAUUCCCAGGGCAGGGGGCCAGGUUUGACCCCUGGUCAGGGAACUAGACCCUGCAUGCCACAGCCAAGACCACUGCAGACAAAUUUAAAAAAAAAAAGAAGAGUUCCAUCCAGAUACUGGUCUGACAGCUUUGAUUCCAGCACAUUCCUGCAAUCUCAGCCAGAGGUGCCCCAUCAGGCCUCCUUAACCACUCUAGGGCCUGGGCCACCACUGAAGAAUACUGAAACUGACGAAGGGCAAUGGGAGCCCUCACAGUUCUGAGCUGCUGAAGCCACCAGCUACAGGUUCACAGACCAAGUUCUGCCACAGCAUUUGUCUGCCUGGGCCUUCUUUCUUUUCCAACUAUCUGAGUCAGUCCAGCCACUUCCCCCUAAAGAUUCUGAAGGGCCUCAAUAGGAUUAUAUCAGGGGAUGCUGGAAGUUUUAGAGAAAGAAGAGAGGUAGGGGAUAUUGGGGGAGAUAGAGGAAAAAGAAGUGAGACCACACUGGGCCUCUGGGUGAAGAGAGAAAAAAACUCCAAGGUUCCUUUAUAUUCCAGGCAGAAAACAGAAAGAAAAAUGAUAAUGAAUGCCAAUUAUCCAGGCCUGCUGAAAAACACUUACAAAAAAAAAAAGCAUCAGCACUUCAUUAAAUCCAUACUUGCUCUCGGUGCCACUGAGAAACAAAGAUGAGGAGGAGUGAAGUGGUAUGUUUUUGAAAUGAAAAAAUAACCGAGACGGGCUGAUGAGAAGUCCUUGAACCCAAGAUAACCAAAUAGACAUUCAAACAGCUCCAUUAAGAAAGGGAGCGCAGGGGCCACCCUUCUGUUGAGGGGGGAGGAGGUCUGCAGGAACCUUGUGUGUGAGAGUGGAAGCUUUGGCUACAGUCAUUGCUACUGCUGCUGCUGCCAAGUCGCUUCAGUCGUGUCUACCUCUGUGUGACCCCAUAGACGGCAGCCCACCAGGCUCCCCGUCCCUGGGAUUCUGCAGGCAAGAACACUAGAGUGGGUUACCAUUUCCUUCUCAAUGCAUGAAAGUGAAAAGUCAAAGUGAAGUCACUCAGUCAUGUCCGACCCUCAGUGACCCCAUGGACUGCAGCCUACCAGGCUCCUCCGUCCAUGGGAUUUUCCAGGCAGGAGUACUAGAGUGGGGUACCAUUGCCUUCUCCACAGUCACUGCCCACCUGCUAACACUCAGAAACUCAGUUGCUUAUUUUGACUACUCAGUGCUUAACUAGGACUGCAAGCAGAGGUUUUAAUACCACCUGUGGCGGUAUUUGAAAAGCUGCUGCUUGCAAACAGUCUGCAAGGGGCUUGCAGAGAGCUAGCUGAGAGACAUAGAGUUAUCGGUUCCUGAAAUUUGCAUCACCCCAUAUAACAAGGGCCUAGCCUCCCAUUUCGCCAUGGACAGCACCAAAACAGUGUUGGGAUCACACUGUCUGGACAGAAGAGGAGAAAAAUCAAUUUCAGAUUUUUCAGGUGAGAUUCUGCAACAUGCUUAAUAAAAGAAGGAAUGAUUCUCACAUGUACUGAGCAUGAAAUGAGGGAAGCAUUGCAGUUCUCUGACAUAAUGAAAUAGCAAAUAAAGUAUCCUGAGAUCCUGAAACACUGUCAUUGGGUGGGUCUCUGCAUUAGUAAGGGCUUCUCUAGUGGCUCAGAUGGUAAAGAAUCUGCCUGCAAAAGUGGGUUUGACCCCUGGGUCAGGAAGAUCCCCAGGAGACUGGAAUGACUAACCACUCCAAUAUUCUUGCCUGGAAAACUGCAUGGAUAGAGGAGCCUGGCGAGCUAAAGGAGUUUCCUUCUUCCACGUUAGUAAACAUCCUCUAGAAGGAUAAAUGACAACAGAAACCUGUGAUAUAGAAACAAGUGAAGAUAGAAAUUCACUGUAUCACUAUUGUAGCCAGCCUGGUGUCAGUUAUGAGCAAGGACAGAAAGCCAGGGUACCACAGGCAUGGGACAAGUCCCCUGGGUUAGCACCCAGCAACUUGUCAAUAGAUCACAUCUCACUCAUGAAGCACAUUUUCAUUAACAGAAGGCUUCUUUUGAGGCUGGCCUGACUUUAGAAUAAUCACCUUUAGAGAAAAAGGCCUCCGGCCAGAAGAUGAUGCAAAUCACCUAAACUUUGCAUAUGAUAAGUUUGCAGGAAGAAAGCCUGGCUUACUGCA
ensembl:lncRNA